rnacentral:rRNA from 1 species
GACGAACGCUGGCGGCGUGCUUAACACAUGCAAGUCGAACGGAAAGGCCCUGCUUUUGUGGGGUGCUCGAGUGGCGAACGGGUGAGUAUCACGUGAGUAACCUGCCCUUGACUUUGGGAUAACUUCAGGAAACUGGGGCUAAUACCGGAUAGGAGCUCCUGCUGCAUGGUGGGGGUUGGAAAGUUUCGGCGGUGGGGGAUGGACUCGCGGCUUAUCAGCUUGUUGGUGGGGUAGUGGCUUACCAAGGCUUUGACGGGUAGCCGGCCUGAGAGGGUGACCGGCCACAUUGGGACUGAGAUACGGCCCAGACUCCUACGGGAGGCAGCAGUGGGGAAUAUUGCACAAUGGGCGGAAGCCUGAUGCAGCAACGCCGCGUGCGGGAUGACGGCCUUCGGGUUGUAAACCGCUUUCGCCUGUGACGAAGCGUGAGUGACGGUAAUGGGUAAAGAAGCACCGGCUAACUACGUG